rnacentral:pre_miRNA from 1 species
ACCACUGAGCCACCUUCCCAGCCCCAAUAAUAGAAUUUUUUAAGUUAAAAUGUACCUUCCACUUACCUCAAGAAUCUUACAGUUUAGGGGCUGGGAAGGUGGCUCAGUGGU